GACGAACGCUGGCGGCGUGCUUAACACAUGCAAGUCGAACGGAAAGGCCUGCUUUCCCUUGUGGAUUGCGGGUACUCGAGUGGCGAACAGGUGAGUAACACGUGAGUGAUCUGCCCCCAACUUGGGUAUAAGCCUGGGAAACUGGGUCUAAUUCCCGAUAGGACUGCAGGGUGGUGCCUGUGGUGGAAAACGAUUUUCUAGUGGUUGGGGAUGAGCUCGCGGCCUAUCAGCUUGUUGGUGGGGUAAUGGCCUACCAAGGCGGCGACGGGUAGCCGGCCUGAGAGGGUGGACGGCCACAUUGGGACUGAGAUACGGCCCAGACUCCUACGGGAGGCAGCAGUGGGGAAUAUUGCACAAUGGGCGGAAGCCUGAUGCAGCGACGCCGCGUGGGGGAUGACGGCCUUCGGGUUGUAAACUCCUUUCGACCGCGAGGAAGCCACCUGGUUGGAAGGGUGGUGACGGUAGUGGUAGAAGAAGCACCGGCUAACUACGUG
rnacentral:rRNA from 1 species